rnacentral:rRNA from 1 species
GUACUUGGAGUAGUAAACAGAUAUGAUCUCGAAACUUAAAGAAUUUGGCGGUACCUAAGUCUAGUUAGAGGAACCUGUGCUAUGAACGAUAAACCACGAAUAUCUUACUUUAUCUGGAAGCUGUCAGUUCGUAUACCGCCAUUAUAGGCAAUCUUUGAAAAGGUUUGUUAAGAUAAAUUAGCAUUUAGUAUAUUAGGUCAAGGUGCGGCCAAUGGUAAAGUAGUUAUGGGUUACAUUAACACUAGUGAGUACGGACUAAUCUUAUAAAUUAGGAUUGUGAAGGUGGAUUUAAUGGU